GAGGUGAAGCUUCUCGAGUCUGGAGGUGGCCUGGUGCAGCCUGGAGGAUCCCUGAAACUCUCCUGUGCAGCCUCAGGAUUCGAUUUUAGUAAAGACUGGAUGAGUUGGGUCCGGCAGGCUACAGGGAAAGGGCUAGAAUGAAUUGGAGAAAUUAAUCCAGGUAGCAGUACGAUAAACUAUACUCCAUCUCUAAAGGAUAAAUUCAUCAUCUCCAGAGACAACGCCAAAAAUACGCUGUACCUGCAAAUGAGCAAAGUGAGAUCUGAGGACACAGCCCUUUAUUACUGUGCAAGACC